AUCUUCUUCUCGUGGCGGCGCUCUCUUCCUGCAUCGCCCGGUCGUCCUCUCCCUCUCUGCGUAGCGCCGUGGCUUCCUCCUCCCAUCUCCCUGGUGUUUCUCCAAGCUCCAACUCAGACCUUUCUCCCUCGCGCUCAGCUUGAAGCUCCCUACCCGCGUCAUGUCCCUGUUUUUCUUUCCCUCUGCGCGUCCUCGCACUCCCAGCCGAAGCGCGACCCUGGUCCCAGCAUCGAGCUCGCCGCGCGCCAUGGAACUCCCUGUGUCGAGCUCGUUCCCUGCUCCAGCCUCGGCUCGGCGUUUCCCCGGCUCGGAUCUCCCUCGCCGGUGCGCGUCCCUCUCACUGCUUGCCGCGUCCGGUCGAGCGUUCCAGCGCGCCACGAUUUCUUGCUCGAUGCCCCCUGCUCUCUGCACAUCACAGACAUGG
rnacentral:lncRNA from 7 species